UCUGCCUUUAUGCAGGAUACAGGAUCUAUAAAGACACAGUUAUCUCAAGGUCAUUCAAGCCCUCAGUUAGACCCUUUCAGAAAAAGUCCAACCAUGGAGCAAGCAGUACAGACUGCCUCAGCUCACUUACCUGCUCCAGCACCAGUUGGAGAAGGAGCCCUGUGCCAACCAGGCCUUUGCCAUCUACCAGCCAAAAAGCAAUAGAGAAUCAAGAGCACAGGCGAGCUGAAGUACGUAAAGUUUCAAGGCCAGAAAAUGAGCAACCCAGAAAUGAUAGUAAGAGACAAAUAAUUCCAGGUGCUCCUUCCACUCCAAGGAGAGGGCGUGGAGGACAUCGAGGUGGCUGGGGAAGGUUUGGUAUUUGGAGAGAUGGUCCGAUGAAAUUUGAGAAAGACUUUGACUUCGAAAGUGCAAAUGCACAAUUUAACAAAGAGGAGAUUGAGAGAGAAUUUCAUUGCAAACUUAAAUUAAAAGAAGAUAAACUUGAGAAACCUGUAAAUGGUGAAGAUAAGGGAGACUUUGGAGUUGAUACCCAAAACAGUGAAGGAAAUGCUGAUGAAGAAGAUCCUCUUGGCCUUAACUGCUACUAUGACAAAACUAAAUCCUUAUUUGACAAUAUUUCCUGUGAUGAUAAUAGGGAAUGGAGACCAACCUGGGCUGAAGAAAGCCAAUUAAAUGCUGAAACUUUCAGGAUUCCACUCCGUCCAAACCAUGGUCGUGGAGGGUACAGAGGAGGCAGAGGCGGUCUUGGUUUCCGUGGUGGUCGAGGACGCCGAGAACAUGGUAGUGGCAGAGGUGGUACCUUUAUUACUCCUCAGGGAUUUCGUGGUGGAUUCAGAGGAGGUUGUGGUGGAAGAGAGUUUGCAGAUUUUGAAUAUAAGAAAGACAACAAAGUUGUUGCAUAGUCUUCAAACAAGUCUUUGAAAAUGGGUGAAUUUGUAGUUCUUUGUGGUCCUGAAAAUUGGUUUCAGUCUUUGUGAAGAAUGAAGAAGUGAAUUUGCUGUGUAUUUGUCACCAGCACUGGGUUUUACUUUUCCAACUAAUUUCAAAGAUACAACAUAAUUACUUUUGGGGGGAGGAAGGCUCAUCUUUAGAAAUGAGCAUUAAAUAUAUUUGGAAUAGCAGAAGGUUAAGUAAUUUCUUAUGUAUAGCUAAACUAAAGCAGUACUUAAGUGGGACUUACAAGUAUUUUUUCAUCACUGAGAGGAUUUUUCUUAUCACUAAAUUGCAUUUGGCAGUGAUUGCAAGAUAGGGCCAUGAUACUGUGUUCUGAGCCACAGAAAGGGGUGUGUGUGUGUGUGUGUGUGUGUGUGUGUGUAUUUUUUUUUUUUUUGGAAAUCCUAUAAUAUGAGGUAGCUUAUUUCAUCAAUUAAUUAGGGUGCUGGAUGGUAGAGAAUUUUGUCAGUCAACUAUGUACAUACAGUAAAUACUGUUUCUUAGGUAAAGGUAACUUUUUUAUAUAGUUGUGAAAUUUCAUUAUAUUCCAUUGCCAAAGAAACAUUAAGAACUUUGUAUAGCUGUAUAAAAAGCAACUAAUUUUUAAAGAAUAAAUAUUUUAAAGUCAGCAAAA